rnacentral:rRNA from 1 species
CAGUCGCCGCGGGAAUACGUAGGGUGCAAGCGUUAAUCGGAAUUACUGGGCGUAAAGCGUGCGCAGGCGGUUCUAUAAGACAGAUGUGAAAUCCCCGGGCUCAACCUGGGAACUGCAUUUGUGACUGUAGAGCUGGAGUGCGGCAGAGGGGGAUGGAAUUCCGCGUGUAGCAGUGAAAUGCGUAGAUAUGCGGAGGAACACCGAUGGCGAAGGCAAUCCCCUGGGCCUGCACUGACGCUCAUGCACGAAAGCGUGGGGAGCAAACAGGAUUAGAUACCCGCGUAGUCCCUGUCUCUUAUAC